rnacentral:lncRNA from 12 species
AUGCACCGGGAGCCCGACAUGGGAUUCGAUCCCAGGUCUCCAGGAUCGCGCCCUGGGCCAAAGGCAGGCGCUAAAUCUCUGCGCCACCCAGGGAUCCCACCCACCCUAGUUCUAAGGAGCAGAUGGGAGUCUAAACUUCCGGGCCCUGCCUGCCUAUACCCUGCCCUACAGGCCCAACUGGGGCUAGAGGGAAGGAAAGAGACGUCGAAGACUCUUCAAGGGGCUGAAUCCGGCCCUGACUCUGGUCUAGUCCCACCCGUAGCCACUCUUGCUGCCCUCUGACACCUGUCUGCCAGGAUUUCCCCAACUUUGGGCAAACUCCAGCCCAGGAGCCGAACCACCAGGAGCAGAAGGGCCAGGGCCAGGGCCAGGUAUUUUUAGCAGAGUUGCUGGCAGCUGUCUGGAGGGUGCUGGGAGCUGAGGUGGUCUGAGUUCAUGCUCUCCCUUCUCUGGGCUGGUAUUCCGUCCCUCAGAAGCAGGGCGCACCUCCACCUGCAGGACACUGCCAGAGCACCUCCCUUCCGGGACCCCCUCCCCAGACAGCUCCCCGGGCCUCCAGGGGCUCACGGUGAAGGUGACAGUGACGGUGACACUAACGCUCACCCUGACCUCACCCUGACCGGCUCUUAGGUAGAACCUUGUACUUCCCAGGGCAGGCGGGGAGUAGGGGGGCUUGGCGCUGAGGCCUCUAGGCCCAGACUGAGGGUCCUCCGGUUCCAGCUCCCAUACGGGUCUGGGGGGGCGGUGUCCGUAGCAGAGGAGGGUGAGGUCUGUCCAGCCGGUGUCGGGGGCUUGCUUGGGCCCAGGCCAGGGCUCGCGGGGAGCAAAGGGGGAGUUCACUGUUAAAGGGCCACGGCUAACUUCCCAGAGGGGCGCUGGCACAGUGGGCGGCGGCUUUCCCCCUUGACCCCGAGUCCAAACCCCUCCGACCCAGCGGUCAACGCAGCUUGGCCCGCCCAGUCCGGUGGGGCGGGUGUCGGUGGGUGCGGGGUCCCGGCGGGGGAGCGGGGAUUUUCCGGGGUGGGGGGGCCCGACACGUCAGCCCCCGCAGGCGCGGGCGCGGGGGCGGGCGCGGGGGCGGGGGCGGGGGCGGGGGCGGGNNNNNNNNNNNNNNNNNNNNNNNNNNNNNNNNNNNNNNNNNNNNNNNNNNCACAAAAUGGGUG